rnacentral:lncRNA from 1 species
UUUUUUCUAGAAGUGAUUUUGGGCUCGAAAUCACUUUUGGGCUCAGUAGAGCAUUUGGCAACGAGAGUUGAAAAACCUGAUUCUACUUUUUAGAUUCAGAAAACUAAUUUUGAAGACCCCAAAAUUAGAAAUAGAAAAAAACUGCUUUUUAAAAUUUGAUUUUAAUUUUGCACUCAAAUUUCAAAGUUUUAUUUUAAUUUUAGAUUCAAAUGUUUAACUUAAAAUUUAAUUUCAAUUUUUUAAUUUUUAAUUUUAAAUUCAUAUUUAAAUUUUUAAAUUUCAACUUUUCAAUUACUUAAAAUUUAAAAUUUAGAUAUUAAACUUUAAAUUUUAAAAUUUAAAUUUAAAUUUUAAAUCUCAAAUUUUUGAUUUUAAAAUUUUAAAUUUCAAAUUUCAAAUUUAAGAUAAAAUCUAAAAUUUGAC